CCUCCCAAAGCGUAACGGAGGAGCACGAAGGUUAGCUAAUCCUGGUCGGACAUCAGGAGGUUAGUGCAAUGGCAUAAGCUAGCUUGACUGCGAGCGUGACGGCGCGAGCAGGUGCGAAAGCAGGUCAUAGUGAUCCGGUGGUUCUGAAUGGAAGGGCCAUCGCUCAACGGAUAAAAGGUACUCCGGGGAUAACAGGCUGAUACCGCCCAAGAGUUCAUAUCGACGGCGGUGUUUGGCACCUCGAUGUCGGCUCAUCACAUCCUGGGGCUGAAGUAGGUCCCAAGGGUAUGGCUGUUCGCCAUUUAAAGUGGUACGCGAGCUGGGUUUAGAACGUCGUGAGACAGUUCGGUCCCUAUCUGCCGUGGGCGCUGGAGAAUUGAGGGGGGCUGCUCCUAGUACGAGAGGACCGGAGUGGACGCAUCACUGGUGUUCGGGUUGUCAUGCCAAUGGCACUGCCCGGUAGCUAAAUGCGGAAGAGAUAAGUGCUGAAAGCAUCUAAGCACGAAACUUGCCCCGAGAUGAGUUCUCCCUGAGACUUUAAGUCUCCUGAAGGAACGUUAAAGACGAUGACGUUGAUAGGCCGGGUGUGUAAGCGCAGCGAUGCGUUGAGCUAACCGGUACUAAUGAACCGUGAGGCUUAA
rnacentral:rRNA from 1 species